rnacentral:rRNA from 1 species
GGGGAAUCUUCCGCAAUGGACGAAAGUCUGACGGAGCAACGCCGCGUGAACGAUGACGGCCUUCGGGUUGUAAAGUUCUGUUAUACGGGACGAAUGGCGUAGCGGUCAAUACCCGUUACGAGUGACGGUACCGUAAGAGAAAGCCACGGCUAACUACGUGCCAGCAGCCGCGGUAAUACGUAGGUGGCAAGCGUUGUCCGGAAUUAUUGGGCGUAAAGGGCGCGCAGGCGGCGUCGUAAGUCGGUCUUAAAAGUGCGGGGCUUAACCCCGUGAGGGGACCGAAACUGCGAUGCUAGAGUAUCGGAGAGGAAAGCGGAAUUCCUAGUGUAGCGGUGAAAUGCUUAGAUAUGACGAAGAACUCCGAUUGCGAAGGCAGCUGACGGGAGUGUUACUGACGCUGAAGCUCGAAAGUGCGGGUAUCGAACA